rnacentral:lncRNA from 1 species
CCCAAGGAGCUUACAGUUGAACAGAUCAUCUCACAGCUAUAUUUAACAGUGUGCCAAUAUUAGAUGGAAUGACAGCACUCGAAUGAAAGCUAACCUAGCCCAGGGCUAGGAAAGGCUGCCUAAGGAAGUGCCCUUUUCCCCUCCGAGCCUAGAAGAUGGAAAAGAGCUACCCAAGCAAAGGACUGGACAAGUAGCUUUUCAGGAACAGGGAACAGCAGGAGAGAAAGAAUUGAAGUGAGAACAAAGUUGAAAUGGUUGAGAAACCGCAAAACCCUGCUUAGAGAACAAGAGAGAUGUGGGCACAAACCGAGCUGCUGAGGUGCGCGAUGGACAGAUCAUGCAGGCUGCUGAGUAAUGAUUUUGAAUUUCAUCCCAAAGGAUUAGCCUACAGUAGUGGCAGUGGAGGUAGAGAGAGUGAAGUCAGCAAAGAAGACAAAAAGAACAGCCAAGAAGGCAGGAGGAAAACCAAAAUUGGUCACAGAAGCCAAAGAAGUGUGUGGAAAAAAAAAAAGGAAUGGCCAACUUUAUCGGAUGCUGCUGCUCGGUCAGGGGAGAUGAGAACAAACUUCCACUGAAUGCAGCAGCUUGGAAGUUCUUGGUGACUGUUUGGGGCAGAAUUUCUCUUCCAGUAACCAUGUCAUUAUUU